rnacentral:rRNA from 1 species
UUUAAUUCGAUGCAACGCGAAGAACCUUACCUACUCUUGACAUCCAGAGAACUUUCCAGAGAUGGAUUGGUGCCUUCGGGAACUCUGAGACAGGUGCUGCAUGGCUGUCGUCAGCUCGUGUUGUGAAAUGUUGGGUUAAGUCCCGCAACGAGCGCAACCCUUAUCCUUUGUUGCCAGCGAUUCGGUCGGGAACUCAAAGGAGACUGCCGGUGAUAAACCGGAGGAAGGUGGGGAUGACGUCAAGUCAUCAUGGCCCUUACGAGUAGGGCUACACACGUGCUACAAUGGCAUAUACAAAGGGCGGCAAGCUAGCGAUAGUGAGCGAAUCCCAUAAAGUAUGUCGUAGUCCGGAUUGGAGUCUGCAACUCGACUCCAUGAAGUCGGAAUCGCUAGUAAUUGCGGAUCAGAAUGCCG